AUUGAACGCUGGCGGCAGGCCUAACACAUGCAAGUCGAGCGAGCGGCGGACGGGUGAGUAAUGUAUGGGGACUGCCCGAUAGAGGGGGAUAACUACUGGAAACGGUGGCUAAUACCGCAUACUAUCGGAUAACCCAUAUGGGAUUAGAUAGUAGGUAAGGUAAUGGCUUACCUAGGCGACGAUCCCUAGCUGGUCUGAGAGGAUGAUCAGCCACACUGGGACUGAGACACGGACAAGACUCCUACGGAGGCAGCAGUGGGGAAUAUUGCACAAUGGGCGCAAACCUGAUGCAGCCAUACCGCGUGUAUGAAGAAGGCACUAGGGUUGUAAAGUACUUUCAGUCGGGAGGCGUUACCGAGAGAAAAAGCAACGGCUAACUCCGUGCCAGCCGCCGCGGUAAUAC
rnacentral:rRNA from 1 species